rnacentral:rRNA from 1 species
AGAGUUUGAUCCUGGCUCAGGAUGAACGCUGGCGGCGUGCUUAAUUCAUGCAAGCCGAACGGCAGCACGGGUGCUUGCACCUGGUGGCGAGUGGCGAACGGGUGAGUAAUGCGUCGGAACGUACCGAGUAAUGGGGGAUAACGCACCGAAAGGUGUGCUAAUACCGCAUACGCCCUGGGGGGGAAAGUGGGGGAUCGCAAGACCUCACGUUAUUCGAGCGGCCGACGUCUGAUUAGCUAGUUGGUGGGGUAACGGCCCACCAAGGCGACGAUCGGUAGCUGGUCUGAGAGGACGAUCAGCCACACUGGGACUGAGACACGGCCCAGACUCCUACGGGAGGCAGCAGUGGGGAAUUUUCCACAAUGGGCGAAAGCCUGAUGGAGCAAUACCGCGUGGAGGAUGAAGUAUCGUGGUACGUAAACUCCUUUUCUUAACGAAGAAGUCCUGACGGUAGUUAAGGAAUAAGCACCGGCUAACUCCGUGCCAGCAGCCGCGGUAAUACGGGGGGUGCAAGCGUUGUCCGGAAUGAUUGGGCGUAAAGCAUCUGUAGGUGGUUUUUAAAGUCGACUGUUAAAGCCCAGGGCUCAACUUUGGAUAAGCGGUCGAGUACUUAAAGACUUGAGUAUGGUAAGGGUAGAGGGAAUUCCUAGUGGAGCGGUGAAAUGCACAGAGAUUAGGAAGAACACCGAGGGCGAAAGCACUCUACUGGGCCAUGACUGACACUGAGAGAUGAAAGUUGGGGGAGCGAAAAGGAUUAGAUACCCUUGUAGUCCCAACUGUAAACGAUG